CCGGGCUCGCCCCGCGGCACCGCCGCCCGGAACGCCGGGGGUCCCUCGGCGGGCGCGCGCGGCUCCCGGGCGACCCUCCCCGUCCCCGGGCCUCCGAUGGAACGGCCCGCUCCGCCGCCGUCACGUGGGCUCCUCCUCCGUGACGUCGGCGCCUUCGCUGUAGCAGAGCUCCGGCCUCUGGAAUUCUGAGAACUAAUUUGCUAGUCGGUGACAUAAGAGGGGGAGUGCGCUGCGCUUGCCCGGGGGUCUGGGGCUUCUUCAUUCUUCCUCUCCUACCCAUAAACUCGGCUCCUCGAGCUUAAAUGACACAAAAGGGAGCGGAGAGGUUUGAGCCUUUUGGAGCAAGUGUGUUGGAGGCAGGUUUAGGGAGGCGAGUGAGAGAGAAAACAAUAAAUGCCACAGCUCCUUCCAGCUAGAAUAUUAGGCACCACGAGAAAGCUAUUUGCCAAGCAGUUUUCGGAUGACUGUAAACUCACCAUGUUGCCUAGACUGGCCUUGAAGAUAUGACCUUCCUUCCUCUACUUCUCAAGUUCUGAAAUGGAAGAUGUGUGCCACUAUUUCAGGAGCAUCCCCUGGUCUGUAGAAUCUACAUGUUCUUACCAUCUUUGCCACAAGAAGCAACUUCAAGGAACUACUCUCUCUGCUCUUCCUUAAAAAGCAAGUCUUAACUUUGUGAAUUUUAUCGUGAGGUCCACCACUCAGCUGCCUCUUCAGACUCCCCACGGUACUCCUCUUGCCAUUUCAGCUACAGCUGCUACAUUUGUUCCUCCACUGAAGCCGCAAACCCUUCAACGUCUUUCACAUACAUUGGGGCCAGCUUCUUCGAAACUUCUGUGAAAUCAUAAGAUCUCCCAUGGAUCACAAAUGUCUCUCUAAAUGGCAUC